GAUGAACGCUGGCGGCGUGCCUAAUACAUGCAAGUCGAGCGAACGGACGAGAAGCUUGCUUCUCUGAUGUUAGCGGCGGACGGGUGGGUAACACGUGGAUAACCUACCUAUAAGACUGGGAUAACUUCGGGAAACCGGAGCUAAUACCGGAUAAUAUUUUGAACCGCAUGGUUCAAAAGUAAAAGACGGUCUUGCUGUCACUUAUAGAUGGAUCCGCGCUGCAUUAGCUAGUUGGUAAGGUAACGGCUUACCAAGGCAACGAUGCAUAGCCGACCUGAGAGGGUGAUCGGCCACACUGGAACUGAGACACGGUCCAGACUCCUACGGGAGGCAGCAGUAGGGAAUCUUCCGCAAUGGGCGAAAGCCUGACGGAGCAACGCCGCGUGAGUGAUGAAGGUCUUCGGAUCGUAAAACUCUGUUAUUAGGGAAGAACAUAUGUGUAAGUAACUGUGCACAUCUUGACGGUACCUAAUCAGAAAGCCACGGCUAACUACGUG
rnacentral:rRNA from 1 species